UGCGAUCAUACCAGCACUAAUGCACCGGAUCCCAUCAGAACUCCGCAGUUAAGCGUGCUUGGGCGAGAGUAGUACUAGGAUGGGUGACUCCCUGGGAAGUCCUCGUGUUGCA
rnacentral:rRNA from 1 species